GCCGGUAUAGCUCAGCUGGUAGAGCGGCUCAUUCGUAAUGAGUAGGUCGCAGGUUCGAAUCCUGUUAUCGGCUCCA
rnacentral:tRNA from 1 species